rnacentral:rRNA from 1 species
UACGGAGGGUGCAAGCGUUAUCCGGAUUCACUGGGUUUAAAGGGUGCGUAGGCGGGCAGGUAAGUCCGUGGUGAAAUCUCCGAGCUUAACUUGGAAACUGCCAUGGAUACUAUAGAUCUUGAAUACUGUGGAGGCUAGCGGAAUAUGUCAUGUAGCGGUGAAAUGCUUAGAUAUGACAUAGAACACCAAUUGCGAAGGCAGCUGGCUACACAAAUAUUGACACUGAGGCACGAAAGCGUGGGGAUCAAACAGG